GAUGAACGCUAGCGGCAGGCCUAACACAUGCAAGUCGAGGGGUAGAGUUAGCUUGCUAACUUGAGACCGGCGCACGGGUGCGUAACGCGUAUGCAAUCUACCUUAUACAGAGGGAUAGCCCAGAGAAAUUUGGAUUAAUACCUCAUAGUAUUAUCGAGUGGCAUCAUUUGAUAAUUAAAGUUCCAACGGUAUAAGAUGAGCAUGCGUCCCAUUAGUUAGUUGGUAAGGUAACGGCUUACCAAGACUAUGAUGGGUAGGGGUCCUGAGAGGGAGAUCCCCCACACUGGUACUGAGACACGGACCAGACUCCUACGGGAGGCAGCAGUAAGGAAUAUUGGACAAUGGGCGGAAGCCUGAUCCAGCCAUGCCGCGUGAAGGACGAAGGCGCUCAGCGUUGUAAACUUCUUUUGGAUGGGAACAAUAACUCCGACUUGUCGGAACUUGAGGGUACCAUCAGAAUAAGCACCGGCUAACUCCGUGCCAGCAGCCGCGGUAA
rnacentral:rRNA from 1 species